GGAGGAAUAGCUCAGUGGCAGAGUGCAUGCUUAGCAGGCAGGUCCUGGGUUCCAUCCCCAUUAUCUCCA
rnacentral:tRNA from 1 species